AUGACAGGAGGUGGGAAUUUGGGAGGGCUUGGAGAUUUAGGUUUUGGAGGGGGAGGCGAGGGAGUUUUGACAGGAAGGACAGGGUUGGCAGUAGAGGACAGGACUGGAAGGACAGGGCUGGGAGUGGGAGGGAGGACCUUCUUCAGUGGAGGGUCAGGUGGAGGUGAGCUGGGAGGAGAGUCCACGACAUCAUGGUCAUCGAAUUCGGGAGGGGGAGGGAGUAAUGGCAUGCAUAGGUUCUCGUCAUCCCUGACAAGGCUAGAGGGUGAAUCAAUCCUCUGCUCUCCACUUUGCUUCUCCAUGGCUAGACUGCUGGAGGAUGAGGAUCUAGAGGUGGGCAGAAUCCUUUUAACUGCUGGAUUUGCAAUUGGCCCCUUCACCGCUGACUCAAUAAUCUGGGGUUUUGCUGGAAUCUGGAUUACCACUGUGGCCUCCAGUGGGACCACAGACUGUGGUUUAUGUUGUGAGGUUACAGAAGUGAAUGAGGUGGCCCUAGGGAUGACGGUGAAAGAAUUGGGAUUGAAUUCACUGUGCUGGAUGCUGGAUAAUGGCUCAUUACUCUUUGUGCUGUUUUCAAGGGAAAGACUGGACCUGUGCCUCUCUCGCUCUUUAGCCGCCAUGAGAAAAGCCAGGGGGGAAGCGGCAGGACCGUCCCCCCUCAUCCCAGUGACAUCACUGGCCUUCAGGUUGCGUAGUUUACUGUCCAGCAUAGGACUGAACUUGUUAUUCCGGCCUGGAGACGCUUCCUGCUUGACCAGCUUAGCUGUGUUCUGGGGGUUGAAGCUGGAGGGUGUUGGGGUCUGUACUGGGGAAGCUUGGGCUGGAACCUGGGAGGCUUCGUCCAUGCUGUGGAUGGAGGACAGCCUUGUUGGCUUUGGAGGCGGGGUCUUCAGGGCUUUCAGAGCAGCUUGUCUCAUGUCUAUAGGGGGCUGUGGAGGGGCAAACUUUGGGGGCUCAGUAAAAUCAGGGACUGGUGUUGGUAUAGAAAUGGACAAAGAUGAACUAGAAGCACUGGAGGAAGUUGACGGGGGCUUCGGGGGGCGCAUUAGUGGAGGUUUCAGGGAGGUGAAAUCCUCGUACUCUUUAGACAGAAGCACUGAUGGAGGUUUUGGAGGGGGCAUGGAGGGAGGCUGA
rnacentral:lncRNA from 1 species